rnacentral:rRNA from 1 species
GACGAACGCUGGCGGUGGGCUUAACACAUGCAAGUCGAACGGAAAGGCACUGCUUUUGUGGGGUGCUCGAGUGGCGAACGGGUGAGUAACGCGUGUGUAACCUGCCCUUGACUUUGGGAUAACUUCAGGAAACUGGGGUUACUCCCGUAUAGCAUCCCCUGUUGCAUGGUGGGGGUUGGAAAGUCUCGGCGGUUGGGGAUGGACGCGCGGCUUAUCAGCUUGUUGGUGGGGGAGUGGUUUACCAAGGCAUUGACGGAUAGCCGGCCCGAGAGGGUGACCGGCGACAAGAGGACUGAGGGAGGGACCAGAGGCGUACAGGAGACAGCAGGCGCAAAUAUUGCACAGUGAGCGGGAGCCUGAGACAGAGGCGCCGCGGGCGGGAUGACGGCCUGCGGGGUAAAAACCGCUGUCGCCUGUGACGAAGCGGGAGUGACGGUAAUGAGUGAAGAAGCACCGGCUAACUACGUG